UCAGCUAGAGUGUUCUCAACCAUGAGCCAACAAACAUUAAUAGCACACUUUCAUGUGAUACCCUGUAUGCUCGGUCAUAAAACAGGGAUUUCGUACAGCAAAGCACAGAUUUUCAAUCGUAAGAGUGGAAUACUAAGAAUAUAUAAAAUGAAUUCAAGAACUGAUUGAUCUGUUUCCUUUUCUUCCC